rnacentral:tRNA from 1 species
GCCUGGGUGGCUCAGUCGGUUAAGCGUCCGACUUCAGCUCAGGUCACGAUCUCGCGGUCCGUGGGUUCAAGCCCCACGUCGGGCU